GACGAACGCUGGCGGCGUGCUUAACACAUGCAAGUCGAACGCUGUAGCUUGGUGCUUGCACUGGGUGGAUGAGUGGCGAACGGGUGAGUAAUACGUGAGUAACCUGCCCUUGACUCUGGGAUAAGCCUGGGAAACUGGGUCUAAUACUGGAUACGACAUGUCACCGCAUGGUGGUGUGUGGAAAGGGUUUUACUGGUUUUGGAUGGGCUCACGGCCUAUCAGCUUGUUGGUGGGGUAAUGGCUCACCAAGGCGACGACGGGUAGCCGGCCUGAGAGGGUGACCGGCCACACUGGGACUGAGACACGGCCCAGACUCCUACGGGAGGCAGCAGUGGGGAAUAUUGCACAAUGGGCGGAAGCCUGAUGCAGCGACGCCGCGUGAGGGAUGACGGCCUUCGGGUUGUAAACCUCUUUCAGCACGGAAGAAGCGAAAGUGACGGUACGUGCAGAAGAAGCGCCGGCUAACUACGUG
rnacentral:rRNA from 1 species